AGUGAACGCUGGCGGUAGGCCUAACACAUGCAAGUCGAACGGCAGCACAGUAAGAGCUUGCUCUUACGGGUGGCGAGUGGCGGACGGGUGAGGAAUACAUCGGAAUCUACUUUUUCGUGGGGGAUAACGUAGGGAAACUUACGCUAAUACCGCAUACGACCUACGGGUGAAAGCAGGGGAUCUUCUGACCUUGCGCGAUUGAAUGAGCCGAUGUCGGCUUAGCUAGGUGGCGGGGUAAAGGCCCACCAAGGCGACGAUCCGUAGCUGGUCUGAGAGGAUGAUCAGCCACACUGGAACGGAGCCACGGUCCAGACGCCUACGGGAGGCAGCAGUGGGGAAUAUUGGACAAUGGGCGCAAGCCUGAUCCAGCCAUACCGCGUGGGUGAAGAAGGCCUUCGGGUUGUAAAGCCCUUUUGUUGGGAAAGAAAAGCAGCAGGUUAAUACCCCGCUGUUCUGACGGUACCCAAAGAAUAAGCACCGGCUAACUUCGCG
rnacentral:rRNA from 1 species